AACGAACGCUGGCGGCAGGCUUAACACAUGCAAGUAGAGCGCCCCGCAGGGGGAGCGGCAGCCGGGUGAGUAACGCGUGGGAAUCUACCCAUCUCUACGGAAUAACUCAUGGAAACGUGUGCUAAUACAGUAUACGUCCUUCGGGAGAAAGAUUUAUCGGAGAUGGAUGAGUCCGCGUUGGAUUAGGUAGUUGGUGGGGGAAAGGCCUACCAAGGCGACGACCCAUAGCUGGUCUGAGAGGAUGAUCAGCCACACUGGGACUGAGACACGGCCCAGACUCCUACGAGAGGCAGCAGUGGGGAAUAUUGGACAAUGGGCGCAAGCAUGAUCCAGCGAUGCCGCGUGAGUGAUGAAGGCCCUAGGGUUGUAAAGCGCUUUCACCGGUGAAGAUAAUGACGGUAACCGGAGAAGAAGCCCCGGCUAACUUCGUGCCAGCCGCCGCCGUAUAC
rnacentral:rRNA from 1 species